rnacentral:rRNA from 1 species
GAUGAACGCUGGCGGCGUGCUUAACACAUGCAAGUCGAACGGAAAGGCUCCUGCUUGCAGGGGUACUCGAGUGGCGAACGGGUGAGUAACACGUGGGUGAUCUGCCCUGCACUUCGGGAUAAGCCUGGGAAACUGGGUCUAAUACCGGAUAGGACGAUGGUUUGGAUGCCAUUGUGGAAAGUUUUUCGGUGUGGGAGGGGCUUGCGGCCUAUCAGCUGGUUGGUGGGGUAAUGGCUAACCAAGCCGCCGACGGGUAGCCGGCCUGAGAGGGUGUACGGCCACAUUGGGACUGAGAUACGGCCCAGACUCCUACGGGAGGCAGCAGUGGGGAAUAUUGCACAAUGGGCGCAAGCCUGAUGCAGCGACGCCGCGUGGGGGAUGACGGCCUUCGGGUUGUAAACUCCUUUCGCUAGGGACGAAGCGCAAGUGACGGUACCUGGAGAAGAAGCACCGGCUAACUACGUG